UACGUAGGAUGCGAGCGUUGUCCGGAAUUACUGGGCGUAAAGAGCGCGUAGGCGGCGCUGUACGACCGCGGUGAAAGCCCCCGGCUCAACUGGGGAGGGUCCGUGGUAACGGCAGUGCUCUGAGUGCAGGAGAGGGAAGUGGAACUCCGGGAGUAGCGGUGAAAUGCGCAGAUAUCAGGAGGAACACCAAUGGCGAAGGCAGCUCGCUGGGACGGUACUGACGCUGAGACGCGAAAGCGUGGGGAGCAAACAGG
rnacentral:rRNA from 1 species